GACGCCAGGCAGAGGUUCCUCUCCCCGCAGGUAGCGAUCCCACCGGCGCGCUCCUGCUCGUCCGAGGAGCUGGGUCUGGGAGCGCGAAUGACAAUGGCUCCUCGGUGAAUGCCAUCGCUGGCCUGCCCUCCUGCAGGAUCCGCGCGCGGUGCUCCGCCCCUGCAAUUUUAUCCGCGCAACAGCCCAGUGAGGCUGGGCAACUGGCCACCUGUUCUUCUGCUCCCUCCCUCUAAAACACAUCUCAGAGUAUUGUCUUCAGGACUACAAACUGCAGUUCCACAUUCACUGCCACUGUGGUCCAUUUCAUCCAAAUAAACAAGCUGUGUAUUUUGGCUCAUUCAUGUCAACCCCAGAAUCCAGGCUGGCGUCAUUGCUCCCGUUCCUUCCAGCUCUUUGAAGAUCAAUGUAUGAAUGUCUAACAUGAGCAUUUGAACGCCCAUCCAAAGAAACAAACCAUGCCCGAGGAUGAGAAUUACAACAGACCAGCUGACCUGGUCGAGGAAAAGAAGUGGGUCUUUCAAGAUGGUCAACGGAGCGAGACAUCAUACAUUCAGAGGACCUGCAGUCUAGAAGUUCCGUUUCAGUGGAUGAAAAUAAUGUCCUGAAUCAGCACAAAGGAACUGUCUUCAACCCUGUGACUGACUAGAUGGUUCUUGAACUACAAGUCUCAGCAUUCCUAGGCAACAUGGCCAAUGUAUUGUUUCCAACUGACAGAGAUUACCAGCCCACCAUGCCAGAACAACAUCCAAGCACCUCAGAAAGGGUAAGCUAGGCUACCAUCCUUAAACCAGAAUAUCAAUCGCAGAUACGGAACAGGACAGAAUGACAAGAUCUGACAUGUGGAUGCUCAUUAGCCAAUUUGGGAGCAGGUUUGUGACAAGAUUAUGCAGUGGGCAAAGACAAUCCAGAUAAGCUAUUUCCCAUAACUGUUUGAAAAAACCAGGAACCACAUGAUUGCAACCCAACCCCCCACAUCUCAUUCCAUGCAAAGGUACCAAAACAAACACAGAGAGGUUCAGAAACUGGAAACUCAGGAGAAGACUGAGACUGUAAAAUGACUUGGAGGACAGAGAGAGAUGAGCAAGAGAUCCACAAGACAGUACAAGGGCAGGCUAAGUUGCAAAGGCCAGAACAUGCUAUGAAGACAAGUGUAAAAAUAUUACUUUUCUGGAAUUAACAAAGUCCUAUGACUGUCUGCCAUAAAAAUCACUGACAGAUGUGAAGGUUGUACACCUUACAUCCAUGCUUCAAAGCCACAUCCAUCUGUCAUGAAGGAGAACAGUGGAAGUUGCAGAGGUAAGGUAGCCACAGGAUUAAAUUCUAAUGCCAAACCAACAAUAUCCUUCUUGUGAUCCCAGGUCCUAUGCGAAUCCAAUUCUUGGGAUUACAAGUCAACUUAUCCUGUUAUACACAGCAGCAAAAUAUAUAGUACAACCCAGAGGAACCCAUGAUUGCACUUGAGGUUUUUUUUAUUGAUACUUUAGUUUCCAGUAGUCCUUCCAGUCUUUUAAAGAAAAUAUCUCUUCCAUUCUUGUGGAGAAAGGAACUUUCUAAAAAGCAGCUUAGAGGUUCAGCAUUGACUAAAGAAAAUUGCUUCCAGUUUGUAUCCUUACUAUUUCUAUUUGAAAUGUUUUAUAAAAGGUGGAGAUGGACAAAUAAAAAAGAAAGGGGGGGGGGAGAACCAGAAAACAGAAAACAUCAAAAGGGUACUGAUCACUUAGAUUUUCUACAGGAGAGCCUUCCCCUGCUGCCUAACAUCUGCAAUUAACAAGGAUGUUUUCCCUCACUUUGCAGUCCAGCACAUCUGGAAGCUGCCAGGUUGGGAAGGAUUAACUUAGUACCAACUACAGAUAACAGCAGGUGCUAAAGUGUAUUUUAUUUAAAAUUCCCAUAUCUUCAGAAAAUCUUCUUUUACGCAACCACAUAUUUUCUAGCAUAUUAUUUAGAGCAUUAGUCAUGAUUCAGAAUUCACCCUAAGAAAAAGUACUGUCUGUGCUGUCCAAAUUUUUCAACCUCCUACACAUACUUCAUUCUCCAAUAAUGCCACCAUAGUAACCAUCCAGCUACUUCUUGGUAAAAAUUGUUUCAAUAUUUUUUGUGGGGGGGGAUCAAUAACCAAUCCUGAUCAGCUCUUUCCAUCCCACUCAAUGAUUAAGCAUUAAUUUCCUUCCCUUGAUCAGUUUUUAAAUGAAAGUUUAUGCAGAAAGAUAAGCAGUUGACCUAACAUUGAAAAUAUCUUCCCACUGUGUAAUUUGGAUAUCCAGAGAGGGGGGAAAAUAAAAAAGGGUUAGAAGGAAGAGGGAAAAACACAUUAUCACCUUCUCCAAAUUGUUCUUCCAGACAUACCAUUACCCUUAAAACUGAAAGCUCCCAAUUGCCACCAGCACCAGAAGCCAGUGGUAGGUUUAUCCCCCAUGAACCUGUAAACUGCCCAUCACCACAGUUAUAGCAACCAAAUUCUUGACAUCCAUGCAGGAUGAGCACAUGGACAGAAUGUGGAUUAUAAAUUGUAAGAUAAUGCAACUUUUAGCUUUGUACAAAAUGUUUCAAGAAAUCUUGUCAAAUUGAAUUCUAUUUGGGGUAGAAGAAACAUUACAAUGAAGAGAGACUUACUGACAUUCUACAUUUUAUAACUGUACAGCAAGUAGCAGAAUGAAUAUUUAUUUUUUUGAAAACAGCAAGAAACCUAAGCUCUUAGGUCUAAAACUAGAUAGACUGCACACCAUAUACAUUUAUUUUCUUCCAAGUCAACUUUCAUUUUAAAAGAACCAGGAUAGUGAAGGAUAAUGAGGCACGUGCAGAAGAUAUAACCCUUCCAUCUUUGGAAGGCAAAAAGGAUUUCAAAAUGCUGAAAGCUUAUAAAUUCAACUGUUUGGACUGUACUGCAUAGGGGCAUAAAAUUAUGUAACUUAAAAUAAGAGAAAAGGAAGAUGAUAAUCAAAGGGUUUUGAUUAUAAUGAUUCACCCAUAAUGAUCCACUCCCCUUUAUUGUUUUCUGAUGAAGAAGCUUCAUAGAUUCAGUGUUCAGCCUUUCCAGCUUGGUGCCAUCCAGAUUCACAGGGAUCAUAACCAUCAAAUUCCCCCAGCAAUAUGGAGGACAUCAGGUCACAGAACUCUGAAGUAUCUCAAACCCUUCCAAAAACAGCUAGUAAAGGAUAUUCCAAUUGAAUCUGUCAAAACCCAUGCAGAUAAUUAUUUCUUCCAUUCCUCACUACCACAACCGACUUUUGGGUGGUCUCACAUUACGUGUGAUUAGUGUUCUUUCUUCACUUUUGCUAAAGUAGGCAGAAUGGUAGGAAGGCAAAUGCGCCCUGCUUAAAAAAAGUCCAUAAAAAUACUCUUACUUGUAUUAAAAACAGUCAUCUCUAACUGCAGGAUUGUCACAUAAGUAUAAUGUUUGCACAUGAGGGAGUAUGAAUAUGGAUGUAGAUUCUGUUGGGCAAGUACACAUUGUACAUCUAGCACAGCCCUGAUGUAUAGAAACCCCAACCAAGUGAGAAAACUGUAAUUAUUGAAUUGUAGAGGCACUCAAACUCUCCACGCUUCUAAAACAGAUUCAACUUUUCUGUGGCUGCAGGUCACUCUAAAUUCAAAUGUAGACCUACAUAGGCACAAAUUGCCUGAAAGAACAGUAUUUGAACAAAAAGUUAUGAGGCCAAGUGUUUACUCUAAGAUUUUGUAGCCCCUAUCAUGAGUUGAGGGACAAUGUCUGUAGUGGAAAAAUUUAUACCCUGUAUAAAUGUAGGGUAUGUCCUGAAAUAAUGUAGGGUCAAACUAAAUUUUAAGAUGCAGCUUUCAUCUAUCAACUAGAUCAAGGGACUAACUUUAUCUGGGAAGCUCAUCCAUGUAAUACAAAACCCCCACUUAGUGUGUCAUGUGAUAUGUGUACAUAAGCCAUUGCUGAGUAGCCAACUGCCUAGUGUGUUAACGCUGUUCCAGCAUUUCUGGAGGAAUAUGGUGCAUCUGCAAAAUGUUUUUAAAUUAACAGAGCUUUUUUUUUUUAAGUGUGCAGUACAAAUAAUGUACAAUAUUGCAGAUUUCUGACAGAGGAAACAGCCCUGUAGUUUGCUGCAUUUAGUGGUCACACAAACUGAACAUGCUCUUAACAUUUACAUUCUUUCUUCUUGAGCAUCUUGGCUAAUUACACCCCACUUGCUUUUACAACUGAGAAGACAAACCACAAUCACUAAGUUUUGGUCAAACAGAGUCAGACAAAUAUAACUCUUAUUUUCUAUUGCUAAAUUUGUUCUACCACGAAAAGAAAAUAAAACUGCCAGAGGUUGUAAUUUGAGGAAAGGUGCAUUCAGAAGACACAGGGAUCCAAAAUCAAAACCAGAACUGACUGAUCUGAUUGCUUAAGGCUGAAAAGAAAAUUUGCACAAGAUUUGAUGAAUUCUCUGUGCUCCAUCUGUUUGGCAAACUGAUACUUCCCCUUUUUUAAAAAAUGGGGAUUGUCAGUUAGCAGGGGACUAUCAAUUAAAACAUCCGAGAGCAGUAACUUGAAAUAAUCAUUUGGCAAGCAGUUAGGGUUCCUGGCGGCCAAAAGAAUGCUGAUAUGUGGAGAUCUAGUAUGUAAACUUUCCAUAUAAGCUCAGGAUGUGUUUGGAUAACAAAAAUCUCAAUAUAUAGUUUAUUUGAAAACUUCCCAGGUGGGAUCAAUCCUGAUUUCCAAAUCUCCCUUAAAGAAGCAGACAAGUAGCAUAAACUGUACAUUAAAGGCUUGAUUGUGCUCUCCUUGUCCAGUUCUACUGUGUCCCCAAUACCCACUUGAGUGAGAUCGUACAAAGGAAAUAUUUCACAACACAAAUCCCUUUAAAACAAGAACCUGAAGCCCUUCUGUUAAGACAAAAGAAAUGGAUGCUGGGAGUUGUUGUCCAGCAACAUCUGGUGGCCAACAGGCUCCACCACUUGCUAUGAACAAAGAAGUUAUUUCAAGGGAGAGGCAGUCUAAAAAGUUGGGCGUAGAAGGCCAGAUUAAUCUCGGACUGUUAAAAGGAGAAGCUCUCUUCCUAACUUGUUGGAGCUAGUAUUAGGACAUAAACUGAAUGCUAGCGGAGGAAUGGCCAGAGAAACAUACCAGAGAACUGAAGAAAACUAGUUGCCGAGUUAACAGUGAAGUACACUAAGAAGUAUAGGUCAUGGGAGAUCUCAGGAUAUCAUGGGAAAAUGGAUGGAAGCAUCUAAUGUUUAUUUUUAGAACACAAAAAGAAUAAAUCUGCUGCUAUGGAAAAAAGGAAGAGAAGUGAGGAGUUCCUUGAAAUGGAGAGGAAGGAUUGGGAGGGAAGUGGGAGGUUUAGAUGGCUAGUCAGAUAACAUCAGAAAGCAAUAUGUUUGCUAGAUAAAAAAUAAUAAUAAAAUAAUAAAAUCAAGCAGAGUUUUUCUUUCUAGUAGUAUUUGCUUGCUGUUUCUUGCUCUCAAAGUAAA